CCCGCACAGGCGGUGGAGUAUGUGGUUUAAUUCGAUGCAACGCGAAGAACCUUACCUGGUCUUGACAUCCCGGAGACCCUUAGGAAACUAGGGGGUGCUUCCAUCUGGAAGAAUCUGGAGACAGGUGCUGCAUGGCUGUCGUCAGCUCGUGUCGUGAGAUGUUGGGUUAAGUCCCGCAACGAGCGCAACCCUUGCCUUUAGUUGCCAGCAGUUCGGCUGGGCACUCUAAAGGGACUGCCGGUGUUAAACCGGAGGAAGGUGGGGAUGACGUCAAGUCCUCAUGGCCUUUAUGACCAGGGCUACACACGUACUACAAUGGCCGAUACAAAGGGCAGCGACACUGCGAGGUGAAGCCAAUCCCGUAAAAUCGGUCUCAGUCCGGAUUGGAGUCUGCAACUCGACUCCAUGAAGUUGGAAUCGCUAGUAAUCGUGGAUCAGCAUGCCACGGUGAAUACGUUCCCGGGCCUU
rnacentral:rRNA from 1 species